UCGAGUUUCAAAGUUUACUUUCCACGUGCACAGGUUACAAUAGGUGUAAAACAGUACAUGACAUUCUUACCUUGAGGUACUGUGUAAUCUGUUUGUCCUAGAGCUGUGUUUCUCAAACUCUCCUGGGGACCCCAAGGGGUGCACGUUUAGUUAUUUUUCCCAAGCAGAACACAGCUGAUUCAACUAAUCAUAAAGUUUUGAUUAUUUGAAACAGCUGUGUAGUGCUGGGGCAAAAACCAAACCGUGCACGCCUUGGGGUCCCGAGGACUGAGUUUGGGAAACGCUGUCCUAGAUGUACUGUAAAAAGGACCCUCCCUGUGCUGAGUGAAUAUUUGCCUGACAGUCUAUUGACCUGUCUUCCAGCAGAAAUGAAGGUGCUGACUUUGCUCCAGCCUCAUGGGGCCCAGGACCAGCAGGCUGCAUCAGGGGGGCUCUACUCUAACUACCUUGGCCAGAGCAUGGAGAACAGAUGCCUGAUCCAUGCAUCUGUGCUGCCUCAGGCCUUCUCUGGACCAGUAUCCCAGCCCUCCUCCUGCCCCUCUCUCCAGCCCUCCAGGCUCACCUCCACCACCUCCUCCCUCCUCUCCACUACCACCUCCUCCCUCCUCUCCACUACCACCUCCUCCCUCCUCUCCACUACCACCUCCUCCCUCACUUCUCCCUGUCUUACCUCCCCCCUCCUCACCUCUCCACUCCUCAGCACAGAGAACAAAUUCCUAAAGAAGGAUUCACUACUCUUCCCUCAUUCCCUCUCUCUCUCCUCUCCCUCCCCCCUCCCCCCUCUGUUCUCUUCAACCCUGGCACCCUCUACUCGUGUCCUGCCUCCUACCUGUUCUCUCCCCCCUCCGGUUCUGAAUGUAGAAGAGCGGAUGGGGGGAGAAGGAAGAAUUAGGCAGCCUGCUUCUGAGGACGCGCUGUCUUACUAUGAAGAGAUGACUGUGGAUUCUGACCAGGACAGCCUCAUGACUGAGGCAACCACAGAGAUGCCUGUCUUGGACAUGGUAUUGGAUGAAGAGAAGUUGGACCAAACCAUGCCAUUCGGGGAACAGGAGUUUGGUGAGAUGGAGAGGGGGAAAGAUGAACUGGAGGAAGAACUGAAAGACAAAAAGGUGAGGGAGUAG
rnacentral:lncRNA from 1 species